rnacentral:tRNA from 1 species
GGAGAGGUGGCAGAGUGGCCGAUUGCACCGGUCUUGAAAACCGGAGUACCCGCAAGGGUACCCAGGGUUCGAAUCCCUGCCUCUCCGC